rnacentral:rRNA from 1 species
AGUGGCGAAAGGGCGAGGAAUACAUGGAUAACGUGCCUUUGGCAUGGGGACAGCUGAGGGAAACUUCAGGUAAUACCCAAUGAGACCACAGUGCUUUCGGGCACAGGGGUCAAAGAUGGGGCUCCUUCGGGACCUAUCGGCCAUAGAGCGGUCCAUGUCCUAUCAGCUUGUUGGUGAGGUAAUGGCUCACCAAGGCGACGACGGGUACCGGGACUGAGAGGUUGACCCGGCGCAUCGGGACUGAGACACUGCCCGGACUCCUACGGGAGGCUGCAGUAACGAAUAUUGGUCAAUGGGCGAAAGCCUGAACCAGCGACGCCGCGUGUGGGAGGAAGCCCUUCGGGGUGUAAACCACUGUCAGGGAUUACCAAGCAAUGGAGGCUAAUACCCUCCUGCGUUGAGGCGUCCCAGAGGAAGUCACGGCUAACUUCGUGCCAGCAGCCGCGGUAAUACGAAGGUGGCGAGCGUUGUCCGGAAUCACUGGGCUUAAAGAGCACGUAGGCGGACUGCCAAGCGUCUUGUGAAAUCCCCCGGCUCAACCGGGGAAUUGCUGGGCGAACUGGUAGUCUUGAGGCAAGUAGGGGCAGGUGGAACUCUUGGUGGAGCGGUGGAAUGCGUAGAUAUCAAGAGGAACGCCAGAGGCGAAGGCGAUCUGCUGGGCUUGACCUGACGCUGAGGUGCGAAAGCCAGGGGAGCAAACGGGAUUAGAUACCCCGGUAGUCCUGGCCAUAAACGAUGUCCACUAGAUCGGUGAACUUCUGACAGUGUGCCGGUCGAAACAAAAGCGUUAAGUGGACCGCCUGGGGAGUACGGUCGCAAGGCUAAAACUUCAAAGGAAUUUGACGGGGGCUCACACAAGCGGUGGAGCAUGUUGCUUAAUUCGAUGCAACGCGAAGAACCUUAUCCUGGGCUUGACAUGCUUGGAUGCCCAUCUGGAACAGAGUAGCUGCCCUUCGGGGUGAAACUUGCACAGGUGCUGCAUGGCUGUCGUCAGCUCGUGUCGUGAGAUGUUGGGUUAAGUCCCGUAACGAGCGAAACCCUUGUCGUUAGUUGCCAGCGCGUAAUGGCGGGGACUCUAGCGAGACUUGCCGGUGUUAAACCGGAGGAA